AAAUACCUUCCUGAACAAAGGAAUGCUGUGAACCUUGACAACGGAGGCAAUCAACCUACAGCCAAGAUGUGUUUGGAGAUCGUCAUAACUAUUUUGACCUUGGAUGUGGCAGCUGUAAGCAAUGGUACAGUAUUUAAACCAGUGUCCAAGGUUUCUCAAGCCAUCUCGAAACAUUUUGAUGUCAUUGUUGGCCAGCUGCCUGAAGUUCCUCCAGCAAAGCAGCCUACAUUUCCUCUGCUGAGCUCAAGAUGGCAUACAUUACUUUUCUUCUCUCCACUGUGUCCCCAGCAAUAAACUGGUGGUGAAGUCAGACUGAGAGAUGAAGUGGCUGCCCCAAGGCUACCCAGCAAGUUUCCCGGCUUGGUGGUGAUUUAAAUUUUAAAGUGUCUUCUAUAUCCCAGGGCAGUAUUGCGGGCACUACUAUCUGUGCGAAUAGUAAUUGUUAUUAUAGCAGUUAGUGCAGUGGAUGUAUGUUCCAAAUUUAGCAAGUAACAAGAUACAAAUAACUAGAUGCGUGUGAUUUAUUCGUUUUUGUCGUAACUGAGGCAUAACUAAGUUACAUUUUAAUGUUUAAAUUAUCCGUGGAUAUCUUUGCCCACUUUAGAUACUUUUAUGUGUCGCCUGCAUAAUGAACUUGCAAACCACCCAUAGAGUGCUUUAAACACUAUGGGGCAGUAUAUAAGCAGAACACUUUAUUUUUUAUUGUUACAGAGGGUGGAAUUGUCAGUGUCGUUGUCUAUACCUUGUU